GUACUUACCUGGACGGGGUCAAUGGGCGAUCAAGAUGGCCUAUGGCCUAGGUUGGUGACCUCCAUUUCACUUUGGAGGGGUGCCUGCCUAAGGUCGGCCCAAGUGGCUGAGCCUACGUCAUAAUUUGUGGCAGCGGGAGCCUGUGUUCGCGCAGCCCCUAC
rfam:Capsicum annuum cultivar Zunla-1 chromosome 5, whole genome shotgun sequence